CGGUUUAUAGCUCAGAAGGUAGAGCACCGUCCUUUUAAGACGGGAGUCCUUGGUUCGAAUCCAAGUAGGCCGA
rnacentral:tRNA from 2 species